AGCUACAAACAGAUAUCCAAGCAUACAGAAGUACAGGAUCUGAGAAACAGUCCAGGAAGGAGAGAGCCGUGUGCCGAACUGCUGAGCCAAGACCAGAGUCAACCCUGAGCCCUCCUCACUACAAGGCAGACCCCACACCAUCGCUGGAGGAAGGGCGCCACGGAACAAAGGCAGCAGCCUUCCAAGAUGAAUUACAGUAGAGGAAACGGAAGUACAACAUUAGAAACUGGAGUGGAGGCCCUGUCCAGGAGUCUUGUCUAGAACCAGACGUUUCCAGAUCUCCAGCCUGCCCUUUUGUGAUGGGAAUGCAGAGGAGGAAAACUAGAGUGGCAGGUUGCUGUCUUGGAGGCACUACAGGUGGCAGAGCAGAACUGAAGAGCUUUCUUUUGUUUUUCAUAAGAAAUCAUCAAAGGUGAGGAUGAAAAAAUUAUUUUUGUGGAAUUGACUGUGUGAAACGUUUUUUUGUUUUGAGUGUUUG
rnacentral:lncRNA from 1 species